AUACGGAGGAUCCGAGCGUUAUCCGGAUUUAUUGGGUUUAAAGGGUGCGCAGGCGGGAGAUUAAGUCGGCGGUGAAAUUUUGCAGCUCAACUGUAAAAGUGCCUUCGAAACUGGUUUCCUUGAGUGUAGAUGAAGUAGGCGGAAUUUGUGGUGUAGCGGUGAAAAGCAUAAAUAUCACGAAGAACUCCGAUUGCGCAGGCAACUUACUAAACUACUUCCGACGCUCAGGCACGGAGGCGGGGGGAUCAAACAGGAUUAGAGACCCUGGUAGUCCACGCCAUAAACGAUGAUUACUAGCUGUUUGCGAUACAAUGUAAGCGGCUGAGCGAAAGCGUUAAGUAAUCCACCUGGGGAGUACGUUCGCAAGAAUGAAACUCAAAUGAAAUGGCGGGG
rnacentral:rRNA from 1 species